GAUGCAACACUGUUAUAUAACACCGUGUCCUCGGUCUAAGGAAAUGCAACAUCUGCCGUGUGGAAAUGCUGUAUCACUGUAUCCAGGAAGCGAUUGUAUAACUGUUUGUAUAACUGAAGAUUAUUUAAAGGACUGACCUAAGGGCAUGUGAGUUGCAAUGACUUCCUGCGCAAUGAUGAAGAUGACUGGAUUCCUGCUAGGGGCAUCUUUUGGCCUUAGCAUGGCCUACCACAUUUCUUCAUAUACUGUUACUGCAGAGGGUCCAAAGAGAU